rnacentral:rRNA from 1 species
GACGAACGCUGGCGGCGUGCUUAACACAUGCAAGUCGAACGAAGUGGCGAACGGGUGAGUAACGCGUAAGCAAACUGCACUUCAGUGGGGGACAACAGUUGGAAAAGACUGCUAAUACCGCAUAAGGAGGGAGGGGAUUGCGUCUGAUUAGCUAGUUGGAGGGGUAACGGCCCACCAAGGCGAUGAUCAGUAGCCGGUCUGAGAGGAUGAACGGCCACAUUGGGACUGAGACACGGCCCAGACUCUUACGGGAGGCAGCAGUGGGGAAUCUUCCGCAAUGGACGAAAGUCUGACGGAGCAACGCCGCGUGAGUGAUGACGGCCUUCGGGUUGUAAAGCUCUGUUAUUCGGGACGCGGUACCGGAAUAGAAAGCCACGGCUAACUACGUGCCAGCCGCCGCGGUAAUAC